AAAUGAAUAAUUAAACUGUUAUAAAAUGUUAUGAAAGAAGGAAUUAAAAUGAAUCGGAAACCCAACUCUAAAAUUAUUGUUAAACGAGGGUUGAUGAAAUGAUGCAAUGACACAAAUAGACAACGGUUUAUUCGUGGACGGGGUAUCAACAGUACAAUUCAAGAGUUCGAAUAAAAAUGGCGUCCUUUUCGGCAUGUCCGCGUCUCACGCCCACCCAAAUAAUUUAGCAAAUUAUAAAUAUAUCAGUAUUAGGAUCAUUUAUUCGGAAACCACUCAUCCGAGUCUUACUUUCUUCAGCCACUCGAGCCAAUAGAUUGUAUCAAUCUACUAGGACACCAAAAUAAUCUCGGCUUCGAACUAAGCACGAGUUGGUGCUCCAGUUGUGGACUUUUCAUAAGUAAUUUUACGUAUUUAGUAUGUAAUUUGUUACAAUGUAAUUUAUUCCUUCAACAGUAUAUAUCCUCUUGUGUACAUGUUCAAUU